UUGUUUGAGGGAACCGGAGGGUCGCCCUCGGCGCCGCUUGGGCCAGUGUUUCGGGGCCGGCCCUGACAAGCAGCCCGAGGAGGGCCUCGAACGACUCAAACCUGGACUUCUGCGAUUGUCGCUUCCUUUUCCUGCCUCUGAGCUCGGGAGGGGUUUCCCGCCUCGCAGCCCCCGCCCCUGGACUUGCUUCUCCUCCUCCCUCUGCGUGUGGAGGGAGCCAACGCUUAGGCCGGAGCGAGCCUAGGGGCCGCCGGCCGUGAGGCCGCUCGGGGGCCUGUUCGCCAUG
rnacentral:other from 1 species